rnacentral:rRNA from 1 species
GAUGAACGCUGGCGGCGUGCCUAAUACAUGCAAGUCGAGCGAACAGAUGAGGAGCUUGUUCCUCUGACGUUAACGGCGGACGUGUGAGUAACACGUGGAUAACCUACCUAUAAGACUGGGAUAACUUCGGGAAACCGGAGCUAAUACCGGACAAUAUAUUGAACCGCAUGGUUCAAUAGUGAAAGACGGUGUUGCUGUCACUUCUAGAUGGAUCCGCUCCUCAUUAGCUAGUUGGUAAGUUAACGGCUUACCAAGGAAACGAAGACUACCCUGCCUGGGAGGGUGAUCGGCCAAACUGGAAAAGAGACACGGUCAAGACUCCUAGGGGAGAAAGCAGUAGCGAAUCCUACGGCAAGGGCGAAACCCUCACGGACCAACGCCGCAUGAGUGAUGACGGUCUUAGGAUCCUAAAACUCUGUUAUUAGGGAAGAACAACUAUGUAAGUCCCUCUGAACAUCAUGACGGUACCUAAUCAGAAAGCCACGGCUAACUACGUG